rnacentral:rRNA from 1 species
AGGACGAACGCUGGCGGCGUGCUUAACGCAUGCAAGUCGAGCGGAAAGGCCCUUCGGGGUACUCGAGCGGCGAACGGGUGAGUAACACGUGAGUAAUCUGCCCCUAGCUCUGGGAUAGCUCCGGGAAACCGGGAUUAAUACCAGAUACGACCACUUUAGACAUCUGCUGUGGUGGAAAGAAUUUCGGCUAGGGAUGAGCUCGCGGCCUAUCAGCUUGUUGGUGAGGUAACGGCUCACCAAGGCGACGACGGGUAGCCGGCCUGAGAGGGCGACCGGCCACACUGGGACUGAGACACGGCCCCAGACUCCUACGGGAGGCAGCAGUGGGGAAUAUUGCGCAAUGGGCGAAAGCCUGACGCAGCGACGCCGCGUGGGGGAUGAAGGCCUUCGGGUUGUAAACCCCUUUCAGCAGGGACGAAGCGAAAGUGACGGUACCUGCAGAAGAAGCGCCGGCUACUACGCGCCAGCAGCCGC